rnacentral:lncRNA from 1 species
UGCAGUCGCCCACGAUCCAGCUGAUGAUCUUCAACAUCAAUCUAUUUAAUGAUCGGAUCUUUUGCAUCUUCUUCACAUACCCAUUAGGUCUAUUCGUCGUAGUUGAUAAUACACUGCUCAGUUUUCUACUGCAUCUUUGUUCUUCAACUUCAAUUCUUGUAGCUGCAAUUCAAAUCCAAUGGCUCAGAGAAUACUCAAAAGAUGCGAAAUCAAACUCUGUAUUCAUGGACGAGCUGGAUUCGCGUUUGUUUUUGUUGUUUCUUCAAACCUUGAAUCCUUUGCUUUUUCUCGUGGAUACUACAGAUUCUGUUUUUUCAUUUUAUCAUUUGUUUAGAUUUCUGCUCGAUGAUGAUCAAUUUGCUUUAACCACACUGAACAGAGAGGCUGGAAGAUGAUGGCGUAGGUGUUGAAAGAAUCUGCCUUUUCUUUAUAGCUGUUGAAUCAGUUUCUUCUUCCUUUUGAUUCAUGAUUCUCUCGAUGAAGCAUCUUUCUGGGACAUGGACGAUUCACCAUCUCCAUGUUUCAGACGGAGGAAGAGAGAGUUUCAUUGAAUCGAUUGGAAGAGUCUCUGGUUGCUUCGGCGAUAGAGAAAAGCACAAUGGAUUCGUUGCUUUCGUCAUUCGUCUUCGAGCUCUUCUCUCCUGUGGAUAAACUUUGGCCUUGACUGAGAGCAUUCAAAAUCUGAUUACGUCGGUUCUCUCUUUUAGAGCUAAAGUGCCAUGCUUUCAUUCAGUUCGUCUGUGAAAUUGAAUUUUUCUGUACGAUUUUUCUGCACAAGUACUGAGGCUUUGGGGAAUUUGUUCAAUCAGGUAGUGACCCAGUUGCCUAAUUCUUUUGAAGUGUGCAAAUAUUGAUGGGAUCCGCUUUGCAGCUGAAGCUUUGAAAUUUUGUAUUCCUGCUGCCUGUAAUGCCCGGAUAUUUUGUUCAGUUUUUAAUUGAGUGAUUUGUUGUAAAAGUCUAUUGAAAUUUGAUUAUCUGACGAGAAGAAUUUUGUUUUGCAUUAGCUGAGGACAGUUCGAUAUAUGCCAUUGAGGAAGAGAUGGACAUGAAGAUGAAGAUGGAAGAAAUCUGAGUUAAUCAAUGAAUAUGAAGACUGCUUCUUUCUUCAGAUUUCUCUGAUUAGUCGAGUUUGAACACAGAAAUUGCAACUUAGCUUGUAUUUGUGACAGGAUAGUUGUGCAUAACUGACAUUAACAUCAACCUAUAAAUUUUAUCUACGCGAUUAGCUUUUCUUUAUGUAGCAUUUGUGCAGGUCCAAUUCUCAAACUUUUCGCUUGAACGGUGCCUCUAAUUGUCUACUCGAUUUGUGUUUGGGUACCGAACCACUCCUUUGAAGAACCGGUUCGAGAAUGAGACAAACGUUAGAAGUUAGAACAGAAGUCGACUAAGUAUGAUUCAAUGACUAAGGCUUGCUGGAGCCAAUUGAAUUUUCGAUUAUACUGAGAACCACCAGAAACCUUUUCUGGAUAAUGUAUGAUUCGUUCGUCAUUGGUGAUUUCUGCUUUAUUUUUCUGUGUUUGGUCUUUGUUUUUUCCCCCUAAUAAUGGUGACGGUGGGGAUAUUAGACGUGCAUGCCCACUUACCACGUAAGGUGUGGUAUGCAUGGCUAAUGAACCAUUAGGUGACCACAAGUCACAACUACUUCUGGUUUUUGUUUUUGUGUGUUUAUAUUUUCAAGUGAGUUUUGUCGUGUCUUCUCGAGUGAUGAAUAAACAUUUAAUUUGGAAAAGUUCGGUUGACCCGGCUGCUUUUACCCGAUCUUGCACAUGUACACUAAAACUCGUGCUAUUGAAAUAUUGAAACGCACAGCUGAAUUAAUAAC